GAGACGCUGGUAAAAUAGACAAUCACACUGCUUUGUCAGGGCAGAGUUGCGGGUUUAACCCCCGCGCGUCUUA
rnacentral:tRNA from 1 species